UCCCUGGAGGACUAGUGGUUAGGCCUCAGCUCUCUCACCGCCGUGGCCUGCAUUCGAUUCCCAGCCAGAGAA
rnacentral:tRNA from 1 species